AUUAAUACAGAUUUAUUGAAAAAUAAAUAUAUUUAUGCAAGUACGGGACGGUACGGGUUUUAAUAUUAUUCAAUUGCGGAGCACGAAAAGCUUACGCGCAAAUUAUCAACAACUUCAAGAUUGUCAAUAGAAGAGGUUCUAGCACGUACAGUUCUUAUGUUUUACUACAAUUUGAUGUCCAACACAAUGUAAUGUUAUGCUGCAGACAUCGCCGUAGUGUACAACACUGGACAAUCGUAUUUGUAUGGUUUUAAUUUUCUUUAUUCGUACUCGGUCAUUUUCGACCCAGUAAUAUAGUUUACUUGGUGCUAGAGAUGUCUUUGCUGUUCAUGGGAGAUUCUCAUAGAGCUCAAUUUCUGGCGUAUAUUUAUAAACUGCAAAGAUAUGAUUUACUUAAUAUUGAUUCGACAAUUGACAUGAAGUUCUGUGGAAUUAGUGGCGGUUGUUUAACAAACUCGAACCAUGUCCUGUUCUUUCAAGAUUGAUUAGUAAAGCAUCAUCCUGACUAUGGUGUCAUGUUCAUUGGUAGUAACGAUAUUGAUUAACCAGGCUCUACUGCAUUAAAUGCAGAGAACACAGCAUUACGAAAUGUUUCAAUUGCUAAACAUUUCUUACGUUGCUACAAUCCGAAACAUAUCUUUAUUUGCCAAUUUAUUCUAAGGCAACACACCCGCCACAUCCCAGCGUACAUAUACAAUGAUUUUAUUACUGAGAAAAGCAAACAGGGUGUUUAAGUAAGAACUUGGAAUACUUAACAUACUGGAAUUUGAAAGGAAUGAAACACUCUAAUGCUAACAUUUUACAGAUAGAUGGUACGUGUUCAUUUCAACAACCUGGGAUUUGAAAUUUUUCCACAAUGUGAGAGAAAUGAUUUUGAAGUGCAUUGCAGAUAUGUAAUUCACACAUGUACUGGAAGAUACUGUAUUCUAAUUGGUGGCACAGUUGUAUCUAUAUUAUCAUAUAAUAACAGCGAAGGCUGCUGCAGCUGGGGAAGCAGCUAAAACAAACGAAGAACAAACCAAAUUGAGCAGGUUUUAGAAGCUCACACAUCCAAUUUAUCAGAAAAAGACUUGAACACAAUUAUAUCAAAUGCUGUUCCUGCUGUGACACGAGGUAUGUCGUAGGUUUUAAAAGAUCUCGACUUGAAGGUACUACCGCCUGACUAUUCAGAACCAAAACUUCGGAAAAGAACAGAUACCUUUGGAAUCCACACAAAGCACUUCAACAUCUGCUUCAACACCAACUUUGCCAGCUUCAGUUAUGAAUCAAAAUUCUGCCACAUUUUGCAUCCACUUUUUUUUGGUAUUGAUGAAAAAAUCAAAGCUAAGAUUGUAUCAGGUCAUUUUGUUGAGUAAGAUUCCAUAUAAAAUAAAGGUGAUUAUCAAUAUCAUUUAGUCGAAAUGGCAGUGGGAAACUCUCGUUCAAAAAAGUUUUAAAUCGUCGACCAGUAUAAAAAUGCUGGAUCAAGGGCUUAAUACAUUUCAUAUUUUUACAAGUGUUUACACAGACAGACACCCAACAUCUGCUGCCACUUUAAUGAAACAUUGCGACAUAGUUCGUAAAAUUGCAAAGCAAUCGGGGGAUUCCGCUGCCAUUUUUACGAUAGACAAUUUAGUCUCUUAUAAGAAGCAAGAUUGGCUUCGAUUUCAUAUGGGGAAAUCGAUACCCAGUUAUACACGCAGGCACUGGUCAUGGGGUUAAUUAAGCCAAAACAAAAACAGUCUUUUCUUGGCGCAAGAUCCCACUAAAACAACCCGUGCUUUGAUUUUAACAACGGGUCUAGUGCCAGAAAAUCGUGCAUCUUUCAGCACAGAUGUCAAAAGUGCCCCGGUCCUCAUGGACGAAUUGUGUGUUUUU
rnacentral:lncRNA from 1 species